GCUCCCAUCGUCUAGAGGCCUAGGACACCGCCCUUUCACGGCGGUAACAGGGGUUCGAAUCCCCUUGGGAGUACCA
rnacentral:tRNA from 7 species